GCACUACUGAGGAGUCCCACAAUAGGACGAAACGGCCGUCCAAUGC
rfam:Schistosoma mansoni strain Puerto Rico chromosome 1, complete genome